CACUCCCACCGCAGAUGAUCAACCUCGGCCUGAAAUCCAAGGCCUUCUCCUCCAGCUUAUCGUAAUCAAUGUAACCAGUUGUGUUGUUCACCUUGUAGGGAAGAGACUCGAAGUAGAUCGACGUGGCCGAGAUCUUCUUGCCGCCGGAGGUGUAGUAUCCAUGGGUCAAGUGACCGCCGGAGGGGAGGUCAAGGCCCAUGAUGCGGUCGUGGGGGUUGAGGACGGCGGUGUAGGCGGCGAAGUUGGCGGGGGAGCCGGAGUAGGGUUGGACAUUGACGCCCCAUUGAGACGCGUCGAGGUGAAACGCCUUGAGGGCGCGUGCGCGGCAGAGAUUCUCGAUCUCGUCGAUGAACUCGUUGC
rnacentral:lncRNA from 1 species